GGGGAUAUAGUUCAAUUUGGUAAAACCGCGAUUUUGCAUAUCGUUAUUUCAGGUUCAAGUCCUGAUAUCUCCA
rnacentral:tRNA from 1 species